rnacentral:misc_RNA from 1 species
AAGUCGUAACAAGGUCUCCGUUGGUGAACCAGCGGAGGGAUCAUUAAAAUAGAGGUCCAAAGCCCCUAAAACCAACCGUGCUCCCAUCGUGGAAACCUAUAAACAGAGAGCCCUCGCUGGCACUAGUUAUCUGAGAAGCAGAACCGCGCCCCGGCGCGAGAACUGAAAGAAAUUACAACCCAUAACAAUGGAUCUCUUGGCUCUG